GGUUAAGUUAGAAAGGGCGCACGGUGGAUGCCUUGGCACUAGGAGCCGAAGAAGGACGGGACUAACACCGAUAUGCUUUGGGGAGCUGUACGUAAGCGUUGAUCCAGAGAUUUCCGAAUGGGGGAACCCACUAUCUUUAGUCGGAUAGUAUCCUUACGUGAAUACAUAGCGUGAGGAAGGCAGACCCAGGGAACUGAAACAUCUAAGUACCUGGAGGAAGAGAAAGAAAAAUCGAUUUCCUGAGUAGCGGCGAGCGAAACGGAAAGAGCCCAAACCAAGAAGCUUGCUUCUUGGGGUUGUAGGACACUCUAUACGGAGUUACAAAAGAAAGUUAUAAAUGAAGCGGUCUGGAAAGGCCCGCCAAAGACGGUAACAGCCCGGUAGUUGAAAUGGCUUUCCCUCCAGAGUGGAUCCUGAGUACGGCGGAACACGUGAAAUUCCGUCGGAAUCCGGGAGGACCAUCUCCCAAGGCUAAAUACUCCCUAGUGACCGAUAGUGAACCAGUACCGUGAGGGAAAGGUGAAAAGCACCCCGGAAGGGGAGUGAAACAGUUCCUGAAACCGUGUGCCUACAAGUAGUUAGAGCCCGUUAAUGGGUGAUAGCGUGCCUUUUGUAGAAUGAACCGGCGAGUUACGAUUUGUUGCAAGGUUAAGCGGAAAAAGCGGAGCCGUAGCGAAAGCGAGUCUGAAUAGGGCGCAUAAGUAACAGGUCGUAGACCCGAAACCAGGUGAUCUACCCAUGUCCAGGAUGAAGGUAAGGUAAUACUUACUGGAGGUCCGAACCCACGCACGUUGAAAAGUGCGGGGAUGAGGUGUGGGUAGCGGAGAAAUUCCAAUCGAACUUGGAGAUAGCUGGUUCUCUCCGAAAUAGCUUUAGGGCUAGCCUCGAGGUAAAGAGUCAUGGAGGUAGAGCACUGUUUGGACUAGGGGCCCUUCUCGGGUUACCGAAUUCAGAUAAACUCCGAAUGCCAUGUACUUAUACUCGGGAGUCAGACUGCGAGUGAUAAGAUCCGUAGUCGAAAGGGAAACAGCCCAGACCACCAGUUAAGGUCCCCAAAUAUAUGUUAAGUGGAAAAGGAUGUGGGGUUGCUUAGACAACCAGGAUGUUGGCUUAGAAGCAGCCACCAUUGAAAGAGUGCGUAAUAGCUCACUGGUCGAGUGACCCCGCGCCGAAAAUGUACCGGGGCUAAACAUAUUACCGAAACUGUGGAUGAACCUCUUUAGAGGUUCGUGGUAGGAGAGCGUUCUAAGGGCGGUGAAGUCAGACCGGAAGGACUGGUGGAGCGCUUAGAAGUGAGAAUGCCGGUAUGAGUAGCGAAAGAAGGGUGAGAAUCCCUUCCACCGAAUAUCUAAGGUUUCCUGAGGAAGGCUCGUCCGCUCAGGGUUAGUCGGGACCUAAGCCGAGGCCGAUAGGCGUAGGCGAUGGACAACAGGUAGAGAUUCCUGUACCAGUGCUAAUUGUUUAACCGAUGGGGUGACACAGAAGGAUAGGGAAUCGCACGAAUGGAAAUGUGCGUCCAAGCAGUGAGUGUGAGAAGUAGGCAAAUCCGCUUCUCGNNNNNNNNNNNNNNNNNNNNNNNNNNNNNNNNNNNNNNNNNNNNNNNNNNNNNNNNNNNNNNNNNNNNNNNNNNNNNNNNNNNNNNNNNNNNNNNNNNGCGAAGCAUGAGCUGUGAUGGGGAAGGAAAUUAAGUACGGAAGUUCCUGAUUUCACGCUGUCAAGAAAAGCCUCUAGGAAGAGUAGUACUGCCCGUACCGCAAACCGACACAGGUAGAUGAGGAGAGAAUCCUAAGGUGAGCGAGAGAACUCUCGUUAAGGAACUCGGCAAAAUGACCCCGUAACUUCGGGAGAAGGGGUGCUCUAUUAGGGUGCAAGCCCGAGAGAGCCGCAGUGAAUAGGCCCAGGCGACUGUUUAGCAAAAACACAGGUCUCUGCAAAACCGUAAGGUGACGUAUAGGGGCUGACGCCUGCCCGGUGCUGGAAGGUUAAGAGGAGUGCUUAGCUUCGGCGAAGGUACGAAUUGAAGCCCCAGUAAACGGCGGCCGUAACUAUAACGGUCCUAAGGUAGCGAAAUUCCUUGUCGGGUAAGUUCCGACCCGCACGAAAGGCGCAACGAUCUGGGCACUGUCUCAACGAGAGACUCGGUGAAAUUAUAGUACCUGUGAAGAUGCAGGUUACCCGCGACAGGACGGAAAGACCCCGUGGAGCUUUACUGCAACCUGAUAUGGAAUGUUUGUACCGCUUGUACAGGAUAGGUAGGAGCCGAAGAGACGUGUGCGCUAGCAUACGAGGAGGCAAUGGUGGGAUACUACCCUGGCUGUAUGACCAUUCUAACCCGCCACGCUUAGCGCGUGGGGAGACAGUGUCAGGUGGGCAGUUUGACUGGGGCGGUCGCCUCCUAAAGAGUAACGGAGGCGCCCAAAGGUUCCCUCAGAAUGGAUGGAAAUCAUUCGCAGAGUGUAAAGGCACAAGGGAGCUUGACUGCGAGACUGACAAGUCGAGCAGGGACGAAAGUCGGGCUUAGUGAUCCGGUGGUUCCGCAUGGAAGGGCCAUCGCUCAACGGAUAAAAGCUACCCCGGGGAUAACAGGCUUAUCUCCCCCAAGAGUCCACAUCGACGGGGAGGUUUGGCACCUCGAUGUCGGCUCGUCGCAUCCUGGGGCUGUAGUCGGUCCCAAGGGUUGGGCUGUUCGCCCAUUAAAGCGGCACGCGAGCUGGGUUCAGAACGUCGUGAGACAGUUCGGUCCCUAUCCGUCGCGGGCGCAGGAAAUUUGAGAGGAGCUGUCCUUAGUACGAGAGGACCGGGAUGGACACACCGCUGGUGUACCAGUUGUUCCGCCAGGAGCAUCGCUGGGUAGCUAUGUGUGGCAGGGAUAAACGCUGAAAGCAUCUAAGCGUGAAGCCCCCCUCAAGAUGAGAUUUCCCAUUUCUUCGGAAAGUAAGAUCCCUGAAAGAUGAUCAGGUAGAUAGGUUUGGAGUGGAAGUGUAGCGAUACAUGGAGCGGACAAAUACUAAUCGAUCGAGGACUUAACCAA
rnacentral:rRNA from 1 species